AGCGAACGCUGGCAGCAGGCCUAACACAUGCAAGCCGAACGAACCCUUCGGGGUUAGUGGCGGACGGGUGAGUAACACGUGGGAACGUGCCUUUAGGUUCGGAAUAACUCAGGGAAACUUGUGCUAAUACCGAAUGUGCCCUUCGGGGGAAAGAUUUAUCGCCUUUAGAGCGGCCCGCGUCUGAUUAGCUAGUUGGUGAGGUAAUGGCUCACCAAGGCUACGAUCAGUAGCUGGUCUGAGAGGAUGACCAGCCACAUUGGGACUGAGACACGGCCCAAACUCCUACGGGAGGCAGCAGUGGGGAAUCUUGCGCAAUGGGCGAAAGCCUGACGCAGCCAUGCCGCGUGGAUGAUGAAGGUCUUAGGAUUGUAAAAUCCUUUCACCGGUGAAGAUAAUGACUGUAGCCGGAGAAGAAGCCCCGGCUAACUUCGUGCCAGCAGCCGCCGUAACAC
rnacentral:rRNA from 1 species